rnacentral:rRNA from 1 species
GACGAACGCUGGCGGCGUGCUUAACACAUGCAAGUCGAACGGAAAGGCCCUGCUUUUGUGGGGUGCUCGAGUGGCGAACGGGUGAGUAACACGUGAGUAACCUGCCCUUGACUUUGGGAUAACUUCAGGAAACUGGGGCUAAUACCGGAUAGGAGCUCCUGCUGCAUGGUGGGGGUUGGAAAGUUUCGGCGGUUGGGGAUGGACUCGCGGCUUAUCAGCUUGUUGGUGGGGUAGUGGCUUACCAAGGCUUUGACGGGUAGCCGGCCUGAGAGGGUGACCGGCCACAUUGGGACUGAGAUACGGCCCAGACUCCUACGGGAGGCAGCAGUGGGGAAUAUGGCACAAUGGGCGGAAGCCUGAUGCAGCAACGCCGCGUGCGGGAUGACGGCCUUCGGGUUGUAAACCGCUUGCGCCUGUGACGAAGCGUGAGUGACGGUAAUGGGUAAAGAAGCACCGGCUAACUACGUG